CCAUACCUACGACCAUUCCCCUGAAAUUUAUACAAUUACCACUUCGCAGUAUCAAAUGAAGCAGAGAAUGCAGAAACAAGGAAAAAAAAUUCAACGUAAAACAUUGCAAGCAGAAUCAAAAAGUACAUUCUCUUAUACUCUCUCUCUCUAGACAUGGCUAAAUCCAUGGGUUGAGAAGCAGAUAUUAUAAAAUUAUAAGAUGACCAUUUUAAUGGUUAUAGAGGUGGUUUGCCAUGCUAUAUAUGCCAACGAUUGGCAUUCAAAUGAUG
rnacentral:lncRNA from 1 species